CACAGCUCUGUCUGUUCCUGCUUGACCCUCAAAACGGAGCCUUGUCUCGUUCUUGGGGGGGAUUUAUUGUAUGCUGUUCCAUUUUGACUGAUAGGAGUGUAAACCUAUUCCUAUGAUUUUUCCUAUUCGGCUGUUUACGGCAUUCAUAUGGUUUCCUGUUCGGCGGAUUGGUGUUCUGCAGUAGCUGUGCCUGUGUCUCUGGAAGGGAAGAUCUACUAAACGGCUUUUAACCCCUUUUAUGCCUGGGGGUGCCGUUACAAGUUAUACAGGCUACACAAAACAUGGCACCCAGUGAGAAAC